CCAAGGUCAUGCGCGAGCGAGUGCGAUUGCGCGCCGCAAUGCAGGAGCGGCCGGCAAACAGCGCGCCGUCAGUACUACGACGACAACGAUGCCCAUCGCAUCACCUUUCUAGAAAACAUUACUUUGUCAAUCCGAUAUUCCAAUAAGGGAAUCACAUUCCCCGUGCUUUGUUUGCAACGUGACAGAUCCGUGAACAGUCUGUGUAUGGCGUGCGACGGUAGCCGCAGACCAGUUAUGCAAUAGCUUGAAUACGCCGAAUUGCCGCGCUUCGGUGCUCCGUUUUGAAGACUUCCGCUUUCUAUUGCCUGAUUUUAAAUACAUCCGCAGAUUAGCUGUUCCUCGGCCAUAGCGGAACACCAGAUGUCAUGAGUCCAGCGCAAACACCCGAAGAGACCAUGAAGAUUGAGGAACAGAACAACAGCCUCGUAAACUCACUUUAGACGACGAAGCAUACUAAAAUUUUAGCCAGUUUAAUCUAACCGAUUAUCGAACCCAAGAAUUCGAUCGUUUAAUAUUAGCCAACGUUUCAUUGAAAACGUUAAUUAUAAAAAAAAGACUACAGUAACUUCCCUAACAUGCUUAAUAACUAUUCCAAUAGCUCAACCGCAUACUUAUAAGUAAAUUCGGAUAGUAAUUUGAUUAAUUAACAUUAAACAAUAGCUUAUUUUUAUACAGAACUGGACAGACGUUUGGCCACAAUCCCACCUGAUGUUAUGUGGGAUGCGGCCCAGGGCACGCCUGUCCAGGAGAUGCAGAUUAAUCACCGCCUAAAUUAACCAAUAUUAAACUCUUUAGGGAAAAUGAAAGGCGGCAAGGAGUUCCUCUCCUUUGCUGUGUUUACAAGAAUCGAGUUAGAUGAGCGAUAUUUGAAAGUACAGUCAAAACCGUUUACGACGACAUCGUUUAGAACAACAUACCGGUUAUAUUGACCAAAAUCAAAGGUCUCGGCUGAAUUCUAUGUAUAAGGUACUUAAUAACAACGUUGUCGGCUGUUACGACUACCGGUUUUUACGACAAAAUAUGAGUAGUACAUUCAAUGUCGUUAUAACAAAUUUUGACUAGUACUUAAUGCAGAUUGCCGAAACUACUGGAUCUUUAAAUCGCUACUACGCAAAGCAUAGCCCCAAAUGUAUAAUAGGCUUGGGUUAUUAGGAUAGAUUAGUAACUUUUCUACGAGAUUUCCAGACAUCCUUUGGGUUGACCGCAUUGGCAGUGUGGUUAGCUGGUUGUUAAGUAACGACCAACAGCCGCUAAUGGCACUGCCUCUGCGUCCUCCUUUAUUACAUCAGUCAACUGAACAAUGAAGCAGGAUUGGCGCCUCAAGCCUUCGACAGCUUUUACCCAUCAAGAACUAGCAGCGGUGAACUUCUCUAAUAAUAUAUUUCGACUAAUGUGUUAUAUUUAUUGUA